rfam:Leptolyngbya sp. PCC 7376, complete genome.
GGGCUUGUAGCUCAGCGGAUUAGAGCGGCUGACUACGGAUCAGCAGGUCGGGAGUUCGAAUCUCUCCAGGCUCG